rnacentral:tRNA from 1 species
GCCCCCUUAGCUCAGAGGACAGAGCAGAGGCGUCCUAAGCCUUCGGUCGCAGGUUCGACUCCUGCAGGGGGCG